rnacentral:rRNA from 1 species
UACGGGGGGGGCAAGCGUUGUUCGGAAUUACUGGGCGUAAAGGGCUUGUAGGUGGCCAACUAAGUCAGACGUGAAAUCCCUCGGCUUAACCGGGGAACUGCGUCUGAUACUGGAUGGCUUGAGUGAGGGAGAGGGAUGCGGAAUUCCAGGUGUAGCGGUGAAAUGCGUAGAUAUCUGGAGGCACACCGGUGGCGAAGGCGGCAUCCUGGACCAUUACUGACACUGAGAAGCGAAAGCCAGGGGAGCAAACGGG